AGCCACUGCAUGGAUGGUGUGUUCGUUUGUUGACACUGGCAAUUAUACAUAUUUAGUGGGUUACUAGUGUUGGGCCAGCAUUAUGUAGCGGGUUUUCAUUUGUACAACUGUGAUUUUGGUAAACAUUGUUUUAGCCUUCAUCUGACGCAUCAACAACGACAGCGGCGGCGCUAUCUGAAUGGUCCACCAUCGGCCGAUUGACAGGAUCUACACUCUCAAGUCCCCUCAACGGAUGUUGACGCGCUUCUCUUCUCUAUUGAUCUUAACUUUUUCGGCACA
rnacentral:lncRNA from 1 species